AUUAAAUUUCUUCACAUAUUAAUAUGUUUAGGUACUUUUUAUAAUUCUUUUUUUAACUUUUAGGUUCAGGGGUCAUUUAGGCGCUGAUAAAACUCCAGCAGGUUAGGUGCUGAUUUAAUAGUUUCUCCUGAGGUCAGACUAAGAAAAACAUAAUUCUUCAGAAUGCUUUAAAGUGGUUCCUUUUCCACUCCCCCUGCCAGAAGCGUUAAGGAACUUUUCUCCAAUAUUCACUACGUUGUGCACAUGUACCCCAAAACUUAAAGUGUAAUAAAAUAAAAAAAAGAAAACCUGGCCAAACUUCUGGAAGCAAACCUCACAGAAGGGUGGAGACUAUCCUAUAACUGGAUACCGCUAAGUUUUCGAAUCUCAUACUUGUCCACACUGAGCCUGCAACCAUUCAUCAAUUACUGUUUAGGUUUUUCUACCCCAGCACUGGUUCUGAUGGAGGUUUCCAUUCAUGGGUUUCUGUUCCAGUAAGAUAUGAUUCUCUGUAUUCACCUCUUUCUCCAAUUUUUGGGACAGUGGUUUUUCCUGUGGCCUCACUCCUCUGAUAGAGCAAAGAAGAGUUGAUGAUUUUUUAGUUUAGUGAGCUUCAGCUUUUUACCUGUUGGUAGGAUAAAGGGUUACCCUGAAGCUCUUACAUGCUGGACCAGAAACCAGAAGUUGCCAAUUGCUUUUCACGGUGUUGGUAAAUUUGAGGUACUCUAGAAGAUGGUUUUCAAGGGGUAAACACCAGCAGUUUUCUCUGAAUCCCUUUUUGUCAACAAAAUUAGAUUAUUAUUAGAUACAUAUUUGUUGUUAUGACAAAAUGGGAGGCAUUUAGCCACUUAUGCCCAGUGUUCCAUUAUUGGAACACUAAGCAUGUGGGAGUUAUUUAUAUCCUACUGCUGAAGGUCAUUGCCAAGGUCUGACUGCAAAAAUUCAAAAAAUUGCAACUUCAGGUGUAAAUGGGUUAAGAAAGAUGGGUAUUGUAGUAAGUAAUAGAGUUUUAUACUUAAAGUUUUGUUAAAUAUUUUUCUGAAUUAUGCAGUAAACACUACACUUAACUGCCUUAUGGUGCUGGUUUGAAUCAUAAUAAAAUAAUGUCUCUAAAGAGGAUCAAGCCAGAUCAGUGUCAGCUUCCUUUUUGUUACUUAGAAAUUCUUCAUAUCCAUAAACCCAAGUGAAGGAGAACUAUGAUGUAAGUGAACAUUAUGCUCUUUCAGAGGUUGAGGACUUCCCUUUUUGCAGGAUGACUUAGCCACGAUAUCUAGAGUAAACCCUCAAUCUUCCUUUCCAAACCCUUGUUGGACAUGUUUCCAUAUGUAUAUCCUGAAACACAUAAAAGUUGUUUUCUCUCCUGACUUAAAUUCAAUUCACCAAUCUUUGGGAUAUUAGGAUCCAAGGAACCAUGCUUGAUUAUUUCCACUUUGGUUUCUUUGAGACAGUCUCCCGCCGCCACCAACAAAUGGACAGAUAGUAUGUGAAUAGUUAUUUUUAUUAGAAUAAUUGGGGGUUACUAUAAAUACACGAACAAAAAACGGUAAAACCUUUCAUUUAAAGGAUGGGAUCUACCUCUGUGGGUGAGGUCAUUUCACUUAUGUCCGGGAAAAAGUCUGCAGGCUUACUGAAUAUUUGAACUCAUAAGUAGAAGUAAAACAAGGAGAUAGGCUGUUAUUUCUGAAUGAAAUGAAUAUGAUGCAAAUUUAUCUUUGUUACACCAUAAUCUGAAGUAUGUUCUUGGGGAUUAUCAUUAGGCACUAAAACUUCUCUGUAGCUCUACAACCUAUUAACUUAGUAUAAUAUAAUCUUGAAAGACUCGUGUUCCUCUCCUGAGCUAUAAGCUGGUGCCAUAAACUAUUAAAAUAAUAAUAUAUAAAGACAGUUAAUGGCUGCAAGGGUGCCAGGAAAACUUCUCCAAACUUGGAAGCAUGAAUCUGUGAGUGAUAUUUUUUCCCUUACCCAGGGGCAGUUUCUCUCCGCAUCAAGUAUUUUUGGAGACAGUGAAGGUGUAAUAGAAAUAAGACUAAACAUGGAGUCAGAAGAUUUGGGUAUAACUUACUCUUCACUUUUUAGUUUCAGAAAAGUUUUUAAGUCUCUGAAUUUCAAUGUCCUUAUCUGGAAAUUACAACAAUCUUGCAAGGCUUUUCUGAGAAUUAAUUAAGAGAAAAUAAAAUUACAUUGUAAAAAUAAAGCAAUACAAAAUAAGAUUAUUUAGAAUUAUUGUCUUUGAGUGAGUAUUAGGAAGUCAGAAUUAGUAACUACUCAGCAAAGCAUUCCUACUGUUCUGCGUGUGAGACCCAAAUCUACCCACCAAUAGAUGUAGAUACUUGUUCAAUUCACUUACAUUCUUUGUGCCUCAGCUUUCUGAUGUAAAAUGAGAAUUAGCACUACCUGUUUUACAGAGUUUUGGUAAAGACUAAGAGAGUUAGUGUGCAUAAAAUAAUCAGUACAAUGCUUGUAUGUAUUCAUUUUGAACAUAAUUGAGAUUUUUUGGAUUUUUUUUAAGCUACAUACCAUACACAAAAGUAUCCCAAUGAGCAUCUACCAUCCCAAGGGAACUCUUCUUCAGUGGAAUUCUGGCUUUCCCCAUGGCAUGUGCUUCUUUUCUUCUAAGAUGCAUUAAAAAUGGUGUUAAUUUGUUACCAUGGUAACUGCUAUACAUAUAUUCAUAGUUCUUAUUGGUUUUUCUGUUUGUUGUUUUGGGGGGUUUUAAACUUUUAGUGUCCAGGAGUACAUGUGAAGGUUUGUUACCUAGGUAAACUCAUUUCAUGGGGGUUUUUUGUAUGGAUUAUUUAAUCACUCAGGUACUUAAGCCCAGUAUCCAAUAGGUAUCUUUUCUGCUUCUCUUCCCCCUUCCACCUUCAACCCUCAAGUAGACCCCAGUGACCAUUUCCUUCUUUGUGUUCAUAAGUUCUUAUCAUUUAGCUCCCACUUAUAAGAGAGAACAUGCAGUGUUUUGUUUUCUGUUCCUGCAUUAGUUUGCUAAGGGUAAUGUUUUAAAGGUGAAUAGAUCUAUCACAUUUGAAUGAAAAUCACCUGCUUACAAAGAGAACCAUUUGUUAAGCUUUAUUGUGCCUACUCAGAUACAUAUAUGUAUAUAAUAUGUAUCUAUAGAUACAUAUUAUAUAAUAUGUAUAUAUACACAUAUAUAUGUACAUAUAAAUAUACAUAUAUAAUAUGUACAUAUACAUAUAUAACAUGUACAUAUAAAUAUACAUAUAUAACAUGUACAUAUAAAUAUACAUAUAUAACAUGUACAUAUAAAUAUACAUAUAUAACAUGUACAUAUAAAUAUACAUAUAUAACAUGUACAUAUAAAUAUACAUAUAUAACAUGUACAUAUAAAUAUACAUAUAUAAUAUGUACAUAUAAAUAUACAUAUAUAAUAUGUACAUAUAAAUAUACAUAUAUAUGAAAAUAUGGACUAUGUAAUAAAAUCAAAUGAUCUCAAAAUUAUAAGCAAUAUAAAGGGUACAUGUAGGGUAAUCUUGCAUUCUGAUUGGAAUGUCCCUUAUCACAUCUCUGAAAGAAUGCUUUUUGAUCCAUGCUUACACUCUUUACAGUAGUAGUAAACUCACUCCUUCACAAGGCAACAUAUCUCACCAUUGUUUUUCUCCUUAUACCGAAAUGAAAUCUAAGUUUUUAUUAGUUUCACGUCUUUUUACUGGCUUUUCACCAUGGAAAACCACACGACAAAUCUACAUAGCAGUUUUUGUAUUUGAAGUCAAGUGUCAUGUCUCUACUUCUCUAAACAAAAUAUCCCUUGGGAGCUCUCACAGUAGAAGGGGAGAAGUGUUGGCUUUGGAAUCAGAUCUGGGUUUAAUUCUUAGCUCAAUCACUUUCCAGCUGUGUGAUCAAGGUAUUAAAUCUCUCUGUGCUUUAGUCUUUCUCUCCUACUUAAUAAGUUUGUUUUGUGACUUAAAUAAGAAAAAAACACUAAACUUGAAAAAAAAAUCACAGUACUUACAAAUAUUCAAUCAAUAUUAACUGUUAGGUAUAUUAAAUCAUUUUCAUAUGCGAUGAGCCACUUUAUCAAUUUAUAAUCUUUCUUUGAAUGUAUUUAGUUUAUUACGGUUACUUUUAAGAUGCAUUUGCUGGAAGAACACAUAACAACUAAACAAUUGUUAAUUAUUUAUUAAAUUCUGUCUUAAAUGGUAAUGCUAAUUGUAGAUAUCUACAAAUUCCCAGAAAUUUUGAUGCAAUUAAAUUACAGGUGUUUAAAUGUCACCACAGGCAAAGACAUAAACAUGUAAGAGACAGGCACAAAAAGAACCAUGAACGCUUGAGGUCAGGAUUGGAGUCCAUUCUCUAGGCAAACACACUGGGAAGAGGUGUAUAUAUUUUCUCUUUCAAAGCAUCUCACUAUUGUUAUUUUAUUUUGGGUGGCAAAUGUGGUUAACUUUAAUUGCUCCCUCAUAGCUACCAAUGACUACAUCAUGAGAAAUGCCCAACGGUAUGUGAAGAAAGUAAUCCAAGGAGAAUGAGUGUGUUCACGUCUUGAUAGUAUACCCCCUUGGGACCUCCUUCUAUAAACACCAAAUUUGAGUUCCUGAGGCUGAGAUACCACACUCUUCUGGAAACCAGAGAAUGUGACUUGGUUUCUCUUUUACAAUACUGCAGAAAAUUCCACAAUGGUCUAUGUGGACUGCACGAGUGUUCAAAGGUAUUAAAGUUUCAGAUUUUG
rnacentral:lncRNA from 1 species